GCCUUCGUGGUGUAGUGGACAGCAAGCUCGACGCGUAACCGAGAGUUCCGUGGUUCGAUUCCCGGCGACGGCG
rnacentral:tRNA from 1 species